GUAAAUAUAGUUUAAUCAGAACAUUAGAUUGUGAAUCUAAAAAUAGAAGUUACUACUUCUUAUUUACCG
rnacentral:tRNA from 1 species